rnacentral:lncRNA from 1 species
AUGGCGGCCGGCAGCGCCGGCGGCCUGGCGCGGCUCGGCGACGGCCGGCAGGUAACGGGCCGCGGGCAGAACCCGGGCCCCGCCGCAACGCUGCUGCCGCCCGCCCCUCUCCGCCUCCGGGGCCGGCCCCGCCCGGCCGCGGCGCCCCCAGCCCGGCCCUCGGGGUGGGUAAAAUGGCGGCGGCGCGGCCCGGGGCUGGGCGGCCCGCAGGGGGCUGAGCGCCUGCUGCUGCUCCGGCCUCGGCGCCGCGGCCUCGGGGCUCUGCCCGCCCGCCCGCAGGGGGUGCUCCGGCUGCCCUGGGGUGCUCCGGCUGCCCUGGGGUGCUGCCCUUCCCUUGUGAAGUGGCGCCGAGAUGAAAGGUGUCCUGUUAUGAACAACAAACAUCUGCAAGCAACUGUGAGAGCAAGCAGUACUACCAGCCAGCACCUGCCUGUUCAGCUGCAACAUCCUGCUAGCGAUUCAUACUCCCCACCAAACUUACCGGGAGCGCUUAGAAUGACAAAAGCACAGAAAGAAAGAAGCUGUUCAGAAGACAGGAAACCAAGGAAACAGGAGCCCCUGCAGGGUUCAAAAACAGCCUCAAUGUGA